rnacentral:lncRNA from 1 species
GAAAAAUUACUUAAAUACACAACACUUCUUUACCUAUUCUCAAUAUUUCCCUACUCUUUUACUAAAAUACAAAAAUCCCUUAUUUCCCCCCAAUUCAACUUAACCGGAUACUUAAUUAGAUAAAGUAUCCGCCCGUUAUUAAUUAAAGUAUCCGUGCUGCUAUAUUAUGCAUCCGCCCAUUAAUUUAAGUAUCCGCCCGUUAUAAAUUAAAGUAUCCCGUUAUUAAUUAAAGUAUCCGCAC